rnacentral:tRNA from 1 species
GCCGGCCGUGGGUGGGUUCGUCGACCUUGGCGAAGGCGUCGUCCAGGAGAAUCAGGCGUGGUGCAUGCGGUGCCGACUCGGCGAGGCUGGUG